GGCCCUAAGAAGUAAUAAACCGAAAAAAAAUUUACCGAUUUACAAUUUGUUAAAUGUUAUCCAUGUAAAUGCCAUGAUUUCAUAAAUCAGUUUAUACUCACAAUACAAUUAUAUUAUAUUUUCUCUGUUCAACAACUACUGAAUUUUGUUAUACUAUUAUUGCCGUAAUUUUCCGAAUGGCCAACCCGAUUUUCCAAAUAUGUAAAUUCUACAAAAGUUGGGGGGGGGUUUAACCACCUCCCCAAUACCCCCCCCCCCUCGCUAUGGCCCUGAAGUCAAGUCUUGCUUGACUACUGUAUUUGAAUUGUAAUUGUUGUUCAUAGUUUGAUUAUUAUCAUGUUAUCACUCAAAUCACUGUAUCUCAUUUUGUCUCUAAUAUUUUUUUUGCUUUAUCAUGAAAAAUAGCACCCCCCCACUGGCCAGGGCUAGGGGGUGCACCCCCCAGUAAAUCCAUUCCAGCAUACAGUUGGGUUUAUAGGGGGAGGGGACGGGGUUGACAGAGGUACACUCUUGGCCAACAGGGGAGUGUAAAAAUCGAAAGGGGAGGGGGCGCUACAAAUUGAAUUUCCCAUACCUCUGGGCA